AGAGCCUGUUCCUGGCUCAGAUCGAACGCUGGCGGCAGGCCUAACACACUGCAAGUCGAGCGGCAGCGACAAUAACAAUCCUUCGGGUGCGUUAUUGGGCGGCGAGCGGCGGACGGGUGAGUAAUGCCUGGGAAGCUACCCAGUAGAGGGGGAUAACCAUUGGAAACGAUGGCUAAUACCGCAUAACCUCUUCGGAGCAAAGCAGGGGACCUUCGGGCCUUGCGCUACUGGAUGCGCCCAGGUGAGAUUAGCUAGUUGGUGAGGUAAGAGCUCACCAAGGCGACGAUCUCUAGCUGGUCUGAGAGGAUGAUCAGCCACACUGGAACUGAGACACGGUCCAGACUCCUACGGGAGGCAGCAGUGGGGAAUAUUGCACAAUGGGCGAAAGCCUGAUGCAGCCAUGCCGCGUGUAUGAAGAAGGCCUUAGGGUUGUAAAGUACUUUCAGCAGUGAGGAAGGCGGUAAGAUUAAUACUCUUAUCGUUUGACGUUAGCUGCAGAAGAAGCACCGGCUAACUCCGUGCCAGCAGCCGCGGUAAUACGGAGGGUGCGAGCGUUAAUCGGAAUUACUGGGCGUAAAGCGCAUGCAGGCGGCCUAUUAAGUCAGAUGUGAAAGCCCGGAGCUCAACUCCGGAAGGUCAUUUGAAACUGGUAGGCUAGAGUCUUGUAGAGGGGGGUAGAAUUUCAGGUGCAGCGGUGAAAUGCGUAGAGAUCUGAAGGAAUACCAGUGGCGAAGGCGGGCCCCCUGGACAAAGACUGACGCUCAGAUGCGAAAAGCGUGGGGUAGCAAACGGGAUUAGAUACCCCGGUAGUCCACGCCGUAAACGAUGUCUACUUGAAGGUUGUGGCCUUGAGCCGUGGCUUUCGGAGCUAACGCGUUAAGUAGACCGCCUGGGGAGUACGGUCGCAAGAUUAAAACUCAAAUGAAUUGACGGGGGCCCGCACAAGCGGUGGAGCAUGUGGUUUAAUUCGAUGCAACGCGAAGAACCUUACCUACUCUUGACAUCUACAGAAGCCAGCGGAGACGCAGGUGUGCCUUCGGGAACUGUAAGACAGGUGCUGCAUGGCUGUCGUCAGCUCGUGUUGUGAAAUGUUGGGUUAAGUCCCGCAACGAGCGCAACCCUUAUCCUUGUUUGCCAGCACAUAAUGGUGGGAACUCCAGGGAGACUGCCGGUGAUAAACCGGAGGAAGGUGGGGACGACGUCAAGUCAUCAUGGCCCUUACGAGUAGGGCUACACACGUGCUACAAUGGCGCAUACAGAGGGCAGCAAGCUAGCGGUAGUGAGCGAAUCCCAAAAAGUGCGUCGUAGUCCGGAUUGGAGUCUGCAACUCGACUCCAUGAAGUCGGAAUCGCUAGUAAUCGUGGAUCAGAAUGCCACGGUGAAUACGUUCCCGGGCCUUGUACACACCGCCCGUCACACCAUGGGAGUGGGUUGCUCCAGAAGUGGCUAGUCUAACCUUCGGGAAGGGCGGUCACCACGGAGUGAUUCAUGACUGGGGUGAAGUCGUAACAAGGUAACCUAAAGGCGAAUCGUA
rnacentral:rRNA from 1 species